GCGGGAGUAGCUCAGCUGGUAGAGCACAACCUUGCCAAGGUUGGGGUCGCGGGUUCAACCCCCGUCUCCCGCU
rnacentral:tRNA from 1 species